rnacentral:tmRNA from 1 species
GGGGCUGAUUCUGGAUUCGACGGGAUUUGCGAAACCCAAGGUGCAUGCCGAGGGGCGGUUGGCCUCGUAAAAAGCCGCAAAAAAAUAGUCGCAAACGACGAAAACUACGCUUUAGCAGCUUAAUAACCUGCUUAGAGCCCUCUCUCCCUAGCCUCCGCUCUUAGGACGGGGAUGAAGAGAGGUCAAACCCAAAAGAGAUCGCGCGGAUGCCCUGCCUGGGGUUGAAGCGUUAAAACGAAUCAGGCUAGUCUGGUAGUGGCGUGUCCGUCCGCAGGUGCCAGGCGAAUGUAAAGACAGACUAAGCAUGUAGUACCGAGGAUGUAGGAAUUUCGGACGCGGGUUCAACUCCCGCCAGCUCCACCA